rnacentral:lncRNA from 13 species
UUUGAUUUAAGGGUGUGGGAUUAUCUAACCCUGAUUACAGACCUAACGGUGUGGGAUUAUCUAACCCUGAUUACAGACCUAACGGUGUGGGAUUAUCUAACCCUGAUUACAGACCUAACGGUGUGGGAUUAUCUAACCCUGAUUACAGACCUAACGGUGUGGGAUUAUCUAACCCUGAUUACAGACCUAACGGUGUGGGAUUAUCUAACCCUGAUUACAGACCUAACGGUGUGGGAUUAUCUAACCCUGAUUACAGACCUAACGGUGUGGGAUUAUCUAACCCUGAUUACAGACCUAACGGUGUGGGAUUAUCUAACCCUGAUUACAGACCUAACGGUGUGGGAUUAUCUAACCCUGAUUACAGACCUAACGGUGUGGGAUUAUAUAACCCUGAUUACAGACCUAACAGUGUGGGAUUAUCUAACCCUCAUUACAGACCUAAUGGUGUGGGAUUAUCUAACCCUGAUUAUAGACCUAACAGUGUGGGAUUAUCUAACCCUGAUUACAGACCUAACAGUGUGGGAUUAUCUAACCCUGAUUACAGACCUAACAGUGUGGGAUUAUAUAACCCUAACCCUGAUUACAGACCUAACGGUGUGGGAUUAUCUAACCCUGAUUACAGACCUAACAGUGUGGGAUUAUAUAACCCUAACCCUGAUUACAGACCUAACGGUGUGGGAUUAUCUAAUCCUGAUUACAGACCUAACACUAACGGACAAUCUGUUUCUCUUCGUUCUCACAUGGAUUCUGAAUAUGUCUCCAAUGUUGUUCAUUUGAUCUGAUAUCAUGUGUUGACAGAUCCCAGGUUAGACACAGCGGUAGUCUUUGGUGUGAUAUCAUGUGUGGACAGAUCCCAGGUUAGACACAGUGGUAGUCUUUGGUCUAAUAUCAUAUGUGUUGACAGAUCACAGGUUCGACACAGUGGUAGUCUUUGUCUAAACAGGUGCACUAAUUCAUUAUGAUCCCCUCUGUAUCCGCAUCCCAAAUAACAACCUAAUCCCCCUUAUAUAUAGUGCAGUUACCUAUGGNNNNNNNNNNAACACUUGAAAAGAAACCGUGGUACAGGGAUAUGGUAAUGCUAAUAUGCUAACAUAAAGCAUUACUUGUGGUACGGUAAUGCUAACAUGCUAACAUAAAUUAUUACUUGUGGUACAGUAAUGCUAACAUGCUAACAUAAAUUAUUACUUGUGGUACAGUAAUGCUAACUUAAAGUAUUACUUGUGGUACAGUAAUGCUAAAUGCUAACAUAAAGUAUUACUUGUGGUACGGUAAUGCUAACAUAAAGCAUUACUUGUGGUACAGUAAUGCUAACAUAAAGCAUUGCUUGAGUUACAGUAAUGCUAACAUGCUAACGUAAAGUAUUACUUGUGGUACAGUAAUGCUAACAUAAAGCAUUUACUUGUGGUACAGUAAUGCUAACAUAAAGCAUUACUUGUGGUACAGUAAUGCUAACAUAAAGCAUUUACUUGUGGUACAGUAAUGCUAACAUGCUAACAUAAAGCAUUACUUGUGGUACAGUAAUGCUAAUGCAGUUAGCAAUAGUACUACCUUCUCC